AUGGCCCUUCUCGGCCGACAGGGGGCGCCGGAGCCCGCUGGGGCCUCCCGGGCCGCCACCACCACGGCCCGGGCCGGAGAACGGGGAGGGACAGAGAGCGGCCGCGGCCCCGCUGUCCCGCUGAGGGCCGGGCUGGGAGUCAGAACUCUCACGGUCACGGAUAGGGAAACUGAGUCCCGAGCCUUGACCAAGGCAGCACAGCCCACCCUGGGAAGUGGGGGACUGGAAUUCAGGACGCUCGGCCCCAGGCCCAUGGUUUCCCACAGACCUGCAGGUGUUAAUCUUCCCGCACCCCAUGGCAGUCUAGAGCUCGGUGGAGUCUCCUGCCAGGACACCUCCAGAAUGCUUCCAGUCCUUUCCCUGACCACUGCCAGCUCGGCACAGGCCCUGUGCAAUAUCCUAAACAAUUGCGAAGCUCCUGACACCCUUCCUGCCAGCCUCAUCCCCCGCCCUCCUCCUGUCAUUUGCCAAGCCCCAGCCACUGUUCAGCCCUGCAUUUUCCCGGAGGUGCAGGCUGCAGGCAUCUUGCUUUCGAGUCUUUGCAUAAGUGGGAUCCUCUUCCUGAAUGCCCGCUCACCUUCUUGACUUGGCUAACUUCUACUCAACUUCGAAGAUUUAUUGCAGGUGUGUAUUAGUCCAUCCUCACACUGCUAUAAAGAACUACCUGAGACUGGGUAAUUCAUAAAGAAAAGAAGUUUAAUUGACUCACAGUUCCACAGGCUGUACAGAAAGCAUGGCUGGGGAGGCCUCAGGAAGCUUACAAUCAUGGCAGAAGGUGAAGGGGAAGCAACACAUCUUCACAUGGUGGCAGGAGACAGAGAGAAGGGGGAAGUGCUACACACUUUUAAACAACCAGAUCUUGUGAGAGCUCCAUCACCAGAACAGCAAGGGAGAAGUCUACCCACAUGAUUCAAUUACCUCCCCCAUAGGCUCCUCCUUCAACACAUAGGGGUUACAAUUAGAAAUGAGACUUGGGUGGGAACACAGAGCCAAACCAUAUCAAGGUGCCACCUCCUCCAGAAGGCCCUCCCUCAUGUCCUUCAUCUCUGUCCCCACAGCAUCCUGGGCUUACCACUGCUGUGCACCAACUCAUAAAUUCAUGCACUAACAGCAGACAGUGUCUGUCUCCUAACCAGCCUGGGAGUUUCCUGAAGGCAGGGAACAGGUUUCCUAUUUCUGUGUUGCCAGCAUCUGGCAAAGAGUAGGUCCAUAAUGCAGAAUGAAUGAAGGAAUGAGUGAAUUAAUACAUUGUCCUGUUUAGUCCUCAUGGCUCUGGGGGUCCCUGUUCUGGUUCUUUGGGACCUCAGAAGCAAAGAGGAAGAGGAGGACUGUGACUCCCCAGCUUACUACCUCCUGCCUUACCAUAGCUUUGCUAGUCCCUGAUGACCUUGAGCCCUAGCCAGGCCAAACAGGGGUCACGUGUAGUACUAAUGUGAGUUGGGGGAAGCUGGUACAAUCUGCCAGCCCAGUAGUGUGGAAGGGGACUGAGGGCCUCACAGUGUUGCAUGCCAGAACAAAGCCCAUGCAAAGAAUUGAGGCUCUCUGCCUUUUUGGGCACCUGGUUAGGUUAAGAGGAGGGGAAAGGCUGAAGCAGAGGGAGGACAGAAGGAUCGGGAAGUGCGAAGGCGACCUCCUACAUUGUGAGAGCCAGGCAGGGUCCCAGAGGUCAUCCGAGUGGCUAGGGUGUCCCUCCGUUGUGACUAGACAAUAUCAGUCCACUCCUCCUGGCUGAGUGAGAGACUGCCUACCUCCUCCCCACUGCCUUCCUCCAGCAGCCUUACUCAGAGGCGCUGCGGCCACUGCUGUAUCUAUCUCAGUCUCUCAAUAGCUCUGUGAAGGGUGACUGUGAUUCCCACUUACAAAUGAGGAAGACUUCUUCCCUGCCUUCUUUUGAUUUAUUUGAAAAUUCUUUAGAACUCCAUUUUAAUUGACUUAUUGGUUCUGUAUAUCUUUUGUGGUUUCUCUAAGAAUUACAAUGUAAUUCUUUGGGAGGUCAGGGUGGGGAUUGCUUUGAGCUCAGGAGUAUGAGACCAGC
ensembl:lncRNA